GAAAUAAUCCGCUUACUCCUGGUCUGUCCGCAGCACUUUAUAUCAAGUAACACUCGCUUCCUGAACAGAGCCGCAGCAAAAGGCAGCCUCUGCCCCAGCCCUGUGCUUCUACUUCACCGAGUGUGCGACAAUUACUGCAGAUGCCUGUGACAGAGCCAGGCGAGGCGAGGAACAAGAGUGCAUCACAGGCUUCUGAAAACGGAGUCCUGCUAGGUUGCCCAGACUGGUCUCAAAUGCCUGGCCUCAAGUGAUCCUCCUGCCUUAGCCUCCCAAAGUGCUGGGAUUACAGGUGUGAGACACUGUGCUCGGCCAUAAAUUAAAUGACGACAUGGGCAGAACUGAGAUUCACCGUAGCACUUCCUUAAUGAAGAAGCCAGAGGAUGAACACCACCAUGUCCAGGAUAUGAAGGCCUCUCAUCCCUUUCCCUGCCAAUGAGUUCUGCAUCUGAUGGAUGAAUGUCAGGCAUGGAAUUAAAAUGAGAUGAUCACCAAGGACUAUGGGGAAGGCAUCUCUAUGGAGAGGUUUUACAUUCAGAAUAAAAUCCUUUUUGGUGAA